UCGGGAGUUCGAGUCCUUCGGGAAGAACAACAACUCCGUUUCAGUGUUGUUGCGGUUUUGAUAUUGUGUACAUUAGAUUAAGAAAAUGGUGAAGGAAGUGGUUCAGUAGUGGCAUCUGUACCGUUGAAUUUACUAAAGGCUUGUGUGAAGGAUGGUCUGCUUACAGUCGUGGGGACUCGACCAGAUUUUCGUGAAAUGUACACCGCACUGAAGCAAACUACGCUUGAGGAAUAUCUGAAGUAAAAAUCUCAAGUAAAGUAAACUAGAGCUACACUGAAAUGGACUUCUUUCCUUCCCACGUUUGGCAUAAUAGAAACGAGGAUUUUUACUGGAACAGUGGUGAGACAGUGCGACCUACUAUCUAUACAAGAAUGACCACCCGUGUUUUAUGCUUUAAUUCUACAGUAUUUAAAUGAAGUGAGAAAGGAGUCUGGUCGUGCUGCUGUAGUUCAUUUUAUGCCAUAAAUUUCAUACAUGGAAUGAUCAAAGGUUUACUCGACUCGAGGAAUACUAUAUUAAAUAAUGUACAUGUGAAUAUGUAUGUUCUUAAAUUUACCUAUAUUAGCUAUUGCCAAUUGUGAAGCUUUCUCGUCAUAAAUUCUGGAUGACUAUAGUAAGAAUGAGCUGGUUACUUAACCAGUUAGUACCUUUAGAAUCUCCGUGUUUAAAAUCCCCAUGGCUUUAAAACGCUUGAGAAUUUAUCUACAUUGUCUUUUUGAAUUACAAAAAGACAGAUCAUGUGUACCAUUACUUAUGUUUCACUCAUUUAAUAUAAAGUAGUA